AUACAUGAAAUAUGGAGAGAGAAAAAAAUUGAUCAAUUGAAUAAUUCUAGAAACUUUGUAAAUCGUCUCAACGUUCUUUCCAGACACUGAGAGGACUUCUUACACAAAUGCAUGAGCAGAUUGAUGUAUUUUUUAAACAUGGGACUGCACAAUUUCUGAGUAUAUAUAUCAUAACAGCUCUGCACAUGCGUCUGACAGCCUGGAGCGUGUCAUCGCCCCAGACUCAUAUAACUGUUAAAGUUAACGGCAGGAGGAGGGGUGUGCUCGUACAUUUGUUUGUGCGUCCAUCAGCUGUCUUUAUCAAUGCCGUGUGCGACCCUGGAGCUAGCAGACAGCCAGGGGUUAAAGGUCAAAGCAGAGCCUGUCUGGGCUUCCUGCCUGACCCCAGUGGCUGCGAGCGCUGGCGUGCACUCAUAUGCAGAAAACUGGGUGCUUUCAGGGAGGGAGGGCCGGUUCAACCGUCUACCAGACUAAUAUCACCUUUGGGAUUAGGAUCCAGACAAAAAUAAAUUGACCCCAAACCCCUCUCUUCCCACACACACACACACACACGCACACGCCAGAUUUGCCUGGUCAUAAAAUAGGACUAGCAGAGGUGCUGAGUCUGAGAGGAACAUCUAAUUAUCUUUUAGAGCUGAGUUAGAGGGAUGAGUGGAGGAGAACAAGGAGGUUCAACGGAGCCAAUAACAUGCAAGCCAACAGCGUAAGACAGUUGUUUUAGCCAGGAUAGAGACGAAAAAAACAAAUUCUGUAAGGUGGUGAUUUAAAAAUUGGGAACACUGUAUGAUUAAGAAGGAAAAAGAUGUAACAUAUGAUAAGUUUAUAUCGCUGUGGUAACCCAAAUUUAGAUUUUGCAGCGUAAAAUAGCCUGAAGCACAACUUCGGUGUAAAACGACAUCAGAAUGCUUGUAAAAGAGAGAGAGAGAAGGGAAGAGAGAGAAAAAAAUCCCAAAUCAAAGAGAUCUCAGCUAAAUGAAACAAGGAACAAAAGGUCAAAAUCAGAGGCUGCCAAGCCAUCGGGAAAACUCGCUAAAUAAGCCGGAGUGUUAAGCCUGCUAAUCCCCCCGUAUUAUUGCAACAUCUGUGAGGCCUAGAGGGGCUCUGUCAGCGUACGCCGAGACAGAUGUAAACAAUAUCCUGCCUGAAAACGAAGAGGGUUUGUUUAGGUAUCGAAAACCGCCAACGGUAUGCGAAAAGAAGGUUGAAGUGACGCGGCGAAUGUAAAGCAGGUGAACCGGGAGAGACGGGGGAGUGGGAAGAAGCGAUGGAAGUGAGCGAGUAACAAAAGCUUGAUGCAGAAGAGGUAGUGAGAGUGGGUUUUUUUUUGUUUUUUUUUGAGUUGUUGGGAUACAGCUUGAAGGUGGUGGAAAAAAAAAAACAAAAAACGGAGGUGACAGCAUCCCGGAAAGACGGCACACCUGCGGACCAGGCUGACGAGACGCCAGGGAGACGAAGAUAAUUUAUGCAGAGAGUGUCUGGCAUCCCGUGAAUAGUCCAGAGAACUGAAAGGGGGGAGCUGCUUGUGGGUGCUAGCAGUGUGAAGGAAGGAAGAGAUGGGGGGGGAGGGUGCUUUUUUAAACGAGGGGGCUCAAAGGCUGCUCUUUCUGCUCGAUUCAGCCGAAGCUGUCCAUCUGACGUCCCAUUAAGAUUUGGGACAGGACAUGUGGAACUAGGCAUUGAAGAGGAGCGGGAAUGGGGGUGGUGGGGGGGAUAGGCACAGAGGUGAACGAGAGGCUCUUACCACCCACUCCAGUCUACUUCUUCAUUUUGGCUAUACGUAUUAGAUCCACAGAGCUGUAUGUCUGCUAAUCUGCAUGCUAAUUUCCUUUCAUCACAAACCAGAACCUCAUAAAGGACCAGGGACGGGCUCUGGGCAGACACAAGCUACUCAGCUGAAGUCUGGCUGAAUGAGAGGUCAUAAGAGCGCUUCAACCGCCUGGCUGCACUGACUCUUCCUGAAACUCCUCCAUAAGAUGAGUCAUUUGGCAAAAAAAAAGCUGUGGAUUUGAUUCCAGACACCCUCCACCAUCACUGACCAGUCCCUUGUUUCUAUGCUUUGCUUCGUACAAACGGUCUGGACCCUUGUCUAUUGAGAAUGCUACUGGAGAAAUCCAGUUCAAUAUAAGAAAGCCCAAAGGGAGCACUGAAGGGAAAUGAGAACACAAUGGCAAGGGUAAUGAAUAUCAUUUGCUUUAGCAAAACCAUGUCUCAUUUCUUUUACACUCCACAACUAUGCACCGUUUUGUGUUGGCCUAUCAAAUAAAAUUCCAAUAAAACUCAAUUCAAGUUUGUAUUUGUGACAAAGUACAAAGAAUGAAUGCCUUUGAGUAGCACUGAAAAAUCUUUUCGUAAGAUUCCCUUUUCACGUAAAAGAUUUCCUAAGGAUGGACAUAACUGAAACAAAAUUUCAACAGUGUGACUUCAGGACUUUGUCAGAUAACACAACGAAAAGGUUAGCCAUAGGCAGCAGUCUUGACAUGUAGGAACAUCAGCAGAGGCUGGCAUCAACCUUUAAAAUCAUGGAGCAGUUUUGAUUUGAAAGUGAGGAGACAGACUGUAUGCCUCGUGCAUUUGAAUCCUGGCCAAUUGCCAGGUGAAACCGUGCACGUGCGUGCGUGUAUGCGUGCACGCAUGCGUGCGGGUGUGUGUGUGUGUGUGUGUGUGUGUGGGCCAAGCGAGAAGCGCAGCGACCAGGGUGACGUUUGAGUCCGAUGAUGCAGGCGGACAGUUUAAUGACAGUCCUCGCCCUGAAACAUUCAGACCGGUGAGCACCUCGGAUGUAUACGCACCAUAUGACAAGUGCAACUAUACGUGUGAUGUACGGUGUGGCGUUUUCUGCAAAAGACGAGCAGAACUGGUGAAAAUGAAACAGGAGAAAUAUCUUAAUGCUUACGACCCUAAGCAAAAAAAAAAAAAAAAAAAAGAGUUUCAGGCUUUGCCCUUCGACACAGAGGACGACAAACGCUGCGUUAAAAACUGUCCUUUGCUGGCGCUAAUUAAAGCAAGUGUUAGAAGCGCCGCGGAUGUUGGUCAUGUUUCUUUAAAGAGCGGCGUAAGUAAAGAGCCAUUCACUGUGCCGGCAGACACUGGACCCUUUGUGUUUGUGUGUGUGUGUGUGUGUGUGUGUGUGUGUGUGUGUGUGUGUGUGUGUGUGUGUGCAGAGUUGUGCCUGGCUGUGGACUUGCAUCUUAUUCAGCAGCACAGGUCUGGACUUGAAUUUGGUGCCCAAACAAAGACAUAGAGCCACCUCAUUAAAAAAAAAACAACAAAAAAAAACAUGUCAUUGGAUCAGACCUAGACUCAAUUGUGAGAUUUUUUUUCUUCCUUCUUCCACCUACCAUAAGCGACCGUGACUGCAGAGGAGUUGAAUAAGAGGCCGGGUAGAGGCCUGGCGGUGGAGCGCCACGCCACAUCCCUACGGGAGCCUCCCCUUCACAGAGGGGGGUUGCAUUUAAUGCUUUGUUAGUGUGUUAACACGGCUUUUUAAAGCACCUCUUUAUGGAGUCGGCUAAGCAAACUGCAGAGCCUGGUUUUCUUGGGACAGAAGGAGAACGUGGAAAAACAAAAAAACACAGGAGAAUCAAUAAGGGAGAAGAAACGGUUUGAUUUAUUGUAAAAUGCAGUGCCUUGGAAAAGUCUUCAUCAUUGAUCAUAUUUUGUCAUGACACUUUAAGCUGAUUUUAAGGUUUUAAGAUUUUAUUUUAUUUUCUUUUACAAGUAAAAUCUGAAAAGUGAAACACGAAUUUAUUCUAAGUCAGUGUACUUUGUAGAAUUACUUUUCUCCAUUUCAAGUUUUUAGGGGUAGGUUUCCACCAUGUUUUUUUUAUUAAGAGUCUCAUCUAGGUUCUCAGAUGGAUUUAGAUCUGGAUAUUGAGUGAAUCAGCCACAUUUUGGCGCCACCUGUGUCUCUUUAGGGGCUUUCAAAUGUAUAAAAAAAUUAUAUUGAACUGAGCAGAACAUCUAAACAUAAAAAUAUUCUUGUUUCAAAAGGUCAGUCUUAUAUUUCUUUUUAAUUGUUUUCUUGCAAUAUUUGCAUAAAGCUUUAAGAACAACAUGGCACUAAUUACUUGGUUUUUGGUUUUUUGAUCAUUUUCUUUACCGUUAGGUAACAAAGUAUGCACUGUCACCCCCUUGUCUUCCAUUUUCUUUUAUUGCAAAGCGUUGAAAUUUUUACUUCUUUGAUAUAAAGUUUAAGUUUUUAAAUAUAAUGGUUAAUUACAACAUGUAUUCGAGGUUUUCUUCGAGGUUUGCCCUGCAUUUCGCUCUACCCGCCUUCCCAUCAACGACAACUCGCUUCCCCGUCUCUCCUGAAGCUAAGCAUUCCCUCAGCAUGAUACUGCCACCACCAGUGGGGAAGAUGACAUAUAGGGUGAUAUACAGUGUUGCAUUGCCAGCAGCACCACCAUGAUGUCUUGCUUGUAAGCCAUUUUGAUCUCAUCUGAGCUUUUCCUUCAGCUUCACUGUUAUGUUCCGCUCUAUGUUGGUCUUUUACAUAAAAUAAAAAUAAAACAUAUUGAACUUUACAGAAUGAAAUAAAACCUAAAUGUCUUCAAGUGGCAUGAAUAGUUUGCCGUGCAAAUCGUAAUUAAGCCAAGUGUGAAUAUUGCUAUUAUUCGACCAAAAUAACUCGGCAAAUACGGAUCUCGGGCAGAGGAGAGUGAACUUGAGUGCUGCUGAGUGCAGCACAACCCGGUCACUGACAAACUGCUCCUUGUCCCUGUGUCCUCUGACACAGUCAGCACACAUGUUUACCCAGAGGACCACAGUCAUCCUGCAGGUGAAACAAUAGCUUUGUUACGAGCAUAAGCAUGUGUUUUUGUGUGUGUGCGUGUGUGUGUGGGUGUGCCAAACACGGCCCUGCUUGAGAAACCUGUGCUGGAGACUUAGUCAGUCUCCCAGGGCUUCUGAGAUGACAGUGAAACGAAUGGCAAUGAACUUGAGACAAGUUCACAACGUUAGAGAGGAGGCAGAGCAGAGCAGCACAGCUUCCUUGUGUGCAUAAUGUGUGUGUGAGUGUAAUAAGGAUGCACUCAGAGAACAUCGCAGUAUGUGCGGAGUGUCGAGCUGCGGCGAGGAGCACCCACUCAGAUGAAAAUGUGCAUGCAUGUCUCCCCUAGUCUCCCCUCCCUCUCCCCUCUGGCCAUGCAUACGCAGCAAGGACCCCACUCUCGCUGUUCCAAUGCUGUCUGCUGAGUGCCUGAUGAAAAAGCAAAAACGACAAAAGGGGUCCACACGGCUAAAGGCGAGAAAAUGCACAUUUGUUAAACAAUGGAUUUAAAAGGGUUUCUCAGACACAUUAGUAGGGGUUCACCUCACUGUAUGCGUCACCGGACGUGCUGCUAUUUUCGCUAUCUGAAAUAAAAAGGGGGGGCGGAGGAUGUGCCUACAGCUGCCACAUCAACACAGGCAUGAUGGUUUGCAGAGGGCAGAGAAUGCAUCUGAAUACAUUUACAUAGCGAUGGUGGCAUGUUGACAGAAGUGCUGCUGAGAACGCUUUGAGCUCAUCACUGUCCUCAAAAAAGUAAAGGAACGGUUGUAAGGAGGGUGCGCUGGAGGGGACGGCUGCUCAGAGUGGAGAAACCGUCACUUUUUCUUCAGAAGAAUCAGGAGAGACGGUGCGCCUUAUCUACUCCGCAGGAGGCUCAGUCACAAUGGGCCUUCCUUAUUGUAAAAAUAGAAAUAAAGUAUAUAAACUGCAAACACAUUCAUAGUAAAAAACCCAAAACAAAACAAACAAGAAAAAACCCCAAAACAAUGAGUCCUGAAGCAGAAUGUUGUGGCACGAUGGUAAAAGCAAAAAAACAAAAAAACCCAACUAUCUUUAUGCACAGAAUCUUAUAGUAUGUAUAUUUACGUGUACAGGAACAGUAAAAACCUUUCCUCUGUAGAUUGUAAAUGUGAUUUUAACAAGUAUGAAAGUAUUUCACAUAUGGGAAUUUUAAAAUUUAUAGAUGUUAGUAAAAGAUCGAUAGGUUUUAUAAUAAACAUAAAUUAGAAAACAGGGCAAUGGUAUUUGUUGACAUUAUGAAACAAUUUCCUGGGUAACUGUAAAACACAAUUCUGAUUCUUAACGCACAGACCAGUAAUACAAUAAGUUACAAUAGUCAGACUCCUACUUUAGUGUGCUUCACUGGGAAGUGAAGUAGAAGGAAGAUAGUUUUAUGUUUUCUUUCUAAUAAAAAUCUAAAAUACUGUUGCUAACCUAUCAAAACCGUUGAACAUUUUGAAAUUUUACCGUGUUAUAACAACAUACUUUGAUAUAUUUUUAUUAGGAUCUUUACGACUUGACCGAAAAAACAUAGCCUAUAUUUGCAACACCAAAGAAAAACGAAUCAUGCUUUCUAAAAUGUUUUACAAGCUAAAAACGUGAAAAGUGUGGCGCGUUUUAUAUUCAGCCCCCCUGAAUAUAGUCUUUGUUGAACUUGAAGAUACAAAUUGAAUUGCCGUAUGUUUCCACCAACUUUUCACACCUACAGACUUCAAUUUUCGCCCCUUCUUCUUUGCAAAAUACCAGUUUGUUCAGUCACAUCAGGUGGAGAGCAUCAAUUUUCUAUUCUUGCCAGAUUUCAAUCAGAUUUCAAUCUGGGCAUUGCUUAAUCAUCAAUAAGCUCUGGUCUCUGAUUUCAUUGUAGCUCUGGCUGCAAGUUUAGGGAAGGUGUUUCUCCUGUCCUCAUCCAAAGCGUUUAAAAAGGCUUUCUCCCAGGAUUGCCUCAUAUUUAACUCUUUCCAGUGAAGAACUGCUGUCUUGAAAGCCGAAGAAAAACAUCCUCAGAAAAACAUGCUGCCAACAAAAUGUCCACAUCCAGGGCAAUGUGUAGUUUUAGUUUUUCACGGCACAUAACAUUUUGGAUGCAGGCUUAAAAGAUCAAUUUUAAUCUAAUCUCACCAGGACAGCUCCUUUCACAUAUUAUCCGUCUCCUGUAUUAUUAGUGGAAAACUACAAAUGCUAAUUUUAAUGGUUUUCUUUCAACAGCAGCUGUCCUUUUGGUACCCUUCCAGAUAAAACAGUCUAAAUACCAAAGAAUAUCACUUAAAAAAAAAAAAAAAAAUUGCAUUCAGUACUCAUAAAAAAAUAAAAAAACAUUUAAAAAGAUUUUAAUCAAAUGUAAACCUGAGCACAGCCCUGGGUGAAGAGCAGGUUUUUCUUAUGGAGAAAGUCACUUUAAUUUUGAAAAGCAAAACAGGAAGGUAGCAGAAGGAGCGCUGCGAUAAACCUCUUGCAGAUAUAGUCAGCUAACGAAACCAUCCUGUCAGAUCAUUGCCUGAGGAGAGCAGGAGGGGGAAGGAGAGACGGCAAGAAGGGGAAGAGAGCAAAACAGGGGUGAAAAGGGUCAGCAGGGAGGAAGGCUAAACCCCAGAAGCAAGCAAAAGAUUGUGUGUGUAGUGCAUUUAUAUUUUAGCAUGUGUGUGUGUGAGUGUGUGGGUGUGCAUGUGUGUCAACCCCAGCUGGGCAGACAUUUACUUGACAUGCUGAUAGGGAUUUAAGCAGUGGGUGGGUGGUGUAUCUGACCAAGGUGAGUGAAUGAGCAGAGAAGGGGAGCCUGUGGGGAUCGGAGGAUGAUAGGAGGAGGGGGCGGCGGUGGCGGCAGUGGAGGAAGCAGGAGGGUUAGGGAUUUUUUCUUUUUUUUUAUUAUUUGGACCAGAGGGGCUCACAAAACUGCUGUUACUAAGCUUGAUUUCAGAGCGAGUUGAGACGAUUAGAAGACGGGGGCAGAAACGUGCGGGGAAACGAGGACGAGGGAGGUGGGUUUUUGUAGAGGGGAAACCCUCCAGGCUGUCCAGGAGAAGGGGGACUGGUCUAUUGAGGUGGUGAGGGAAAGAGGGUCCUUCUUUCAGACUCUCUAAUGAAGCAUAAGUCCAUGGUGGAGAAAGAAAGCAGGCAACUGCUGCGCAUGUUAGCUUGGUGCCUGAGCUCCUCUACAUUUCUCUCCUCUGUUUUCCUUCCUCACUUUUCCACAACCCGUCGUUCUCCUCUCCUCCCCUUGAGCGCGGCGUCCCUCCUCUUAAAGGGCUGUUGAUUCUCAAACGCUAUGUGCGUAGUGAGUGUCAACUCUCAGGCUCAGCCGCUGAAUGAUUUGAUGGAAGAAGAACCAACUAAAUUUCACCUAAAAGGAGUCACCGAGUGAUUUUAUUAAGACUAUGUGAUACAUGUGCUGGAGAAACAACAAAGCCCAUCAGUGUUCUGAAUGGUAAAUUCAGAUCACUGAUCACUUUUUUUUUGUCCUUGACAUGGACAAAACAAAACAGACCGAUCAUUGAAUUGAAGAGAACCUGAGCACAAAACCCUCAGCACCAACAACUAUGAAGCAAAGAAAAUAGAUAUUUGAAUCGCCCUAAUCAGAAUUCUGCGGCAGAUUUCCAAUCUGUGGGUUUUAUAAAACUUUUACCUGGAACUCUCUUUAACAACGCUAAUACAGGAGCAUAUAAAAACAGUUUGAAACACCUUUUACUACCCCCACGCUAUAAUGGGGAAGUCAAUAUUUGUAGUAGGAGCAGGGCUGCAAUAUCACACAAUGUGUGUAGGGAAGAAAAGUCACUCUAGAAGAGGAUUUGCGAUUAUUUCCAAAGACAAAAUGAUUACCUGAGUUACUAGUUAGCAUUGUUCCCUGUACAAAGUGAAACAACAUAAAAUCGAACAAUUUCAAAAGAUUGAUGACAUUUGAAAAGCUGAGAUUGGAAGGAUAAGACGAAGCAUCUUUGUGUAAUAGCCUUCCUGGUGUCGCACAGCCUAAGCCAUAGAUAUGUCUCAACAUGUCAUAGAAAAUAAUUUUCUUUCAAUGAGUUGCAUUUCUCUGCUUCCUCUAGGUUUUUUUUGAAACACCUCAUUGUUACGAAAUAAACCUAACUUUAAGUCUUUUCUUACUUAGUGACAAUAACUCUCUUCUGCAUUGAAGAGCGUUAUUGUCAAUGUGACUUGGUAACUCAUGCUUAUGCAUAGUGCAUUUACACACUAGGUUAAGCAAAAACAAACAGUUUUUGUAGCUUCCAGUGAUCACCAGUCAAGGCCAAUAAAAGAUCCGUAAGAUUAUCAACCUCCAGUGAUCUGAUGUGGUCAAAGAACACCAACGAGAUUGUGAAAUUCACCCAGGAGGAACUGAACCCCCUGAGGAAACUGAAACAAUCACUUGCAACGAGCCUCACAACCUUCAGCAGGGCUGUGGUUGACAGUAUGUUGACGCAAUGCAUUUAAAUGUGGUGUUCCUUGUGCGAUAUGGCAGACAAGAGGGCACUGUGGAGGAAAGUGUGGGGCAAUGAGAAGGUCACUGGAGUAUCUCUACCCUCUUUCCAUGACAUGUUUUAGAGUCGCAGAAGGAGUUCUGAAGUGUUGCCGUCAGGCGAGCAAAACACCAAAAUGAGAAGCAGAACUGUCAAAGUGCAAAAAACAGUCUCGCCCUCUAACUGUUAAAAUGUUCAACUACACAUUUGCAAUCAUGUCUUGUAUCGGUUUCAUUUAUCUCUGGUUUCUCUUUUCUAACUGUUUGAUUAUUUUUUCCCGCUACUAUGUUUUAAAUCCCAGAGAAUCCCUGUCUUAUUUUGAUGUCUGCAAAUUAGCCUGCAAUGAAAUGCCAAUAAAUUGAUUUGGACAAUUUCUUUUUUUUCAAAUCAAAGAUCCAGUCAAAGCAUUCAAAAGUGAUGCAUGUAAUGAAAGAGCUACAUGUCUGACGGAGGCGUGCACAGUCGAUGAACCCUGAGCCGACAUGUUAAAUUACAGAAGGCAGCAGACUGAGACAGACAAGAGGGGCUGUCAAAGCGUCUGACUUGGUUUGACCGUGUUCGGUUCGGGGGGGUGGGAGGUGUUUGACCGUGGGCUCAACUGGGCUGAGGCGACUGAUAUCUGGGACAAUUUGGCUCUGGGCCGAAUGGAGACUGGCCAAAGGGCUGACUGAAGGGGUUCGGAUUCCCCUUUUACCUCCCCACUCUGCUCAUCCCCGGAGCGAGGUAAUAUGAAGCAGCUUAUAAAAUAAGCAAACACAGAGGCAGCCAAACAGCGAGAGGCAGACUAACACUGCACGCUGCUCUACGCCGUGAUGAUGACCCCUUUACCCCCUCUCCCUCUAACCUUGACCCUUGAGGUCCUUCUUAACCUAUUUCUGAAUGGAAGUCAGUGCAGCUGGGGUGUCUAGCCGCAAACUAAUCACAACCCCCUCCCUCGUCGUGGAGCUUGUUCCCACGCCUCCUCUGACCGAAGCGCUGCCUCUCCAUUUGAAUUGUCAGGCUUAAUAUUUAUGUGGCUGCCUGUCUCUGAAAAAAAGUAAAAAUAAAAAAAACAACACCAUAGUGAGCGGUUUAAAAUAAAAUAACAAUUUUCCUUUUCGAUUAAAUUUGGGAGGCUUUUUUUUUUUUCUUUUUUGCUUAUUCUAACACUGCAAUGUUCCUUUCUGGUUUGUGCCUCAGCUUCCAUCUGCCAGUUUCUCUCCAUGGCCCCAAUAAUCUAUUCAGCCUGAGCACACAAGCGCGCCGUAUAAUGUACAUGCAACAAUGUGAGCGUGAAGGCUCAUACACGUCAUUCGGCAGGGGGUUCAAACCCCACCACCUUCACAUUUUCAUUACGACCAAGACCUGGGCCCGUGUAGCACAGCAGCGUGGCCUUUUGCUUGGCGAGCAGGCAGUUUAAUCACACAUACGGCACUACUCCAUUUUCAUUUCCUUUUCAUACAGCCUCCAUUCCACUCCAGCUUCAUAAUUCUCCCCCCUCGGAGCUGUCUAGCCCAUCUGAGUGUUUGCAGCCUGUUGAAAUGACAUAAUCAGUGACUUGGAUAAAUGCCUGACUGUUUUUCCCUGAGUCUAUAAUCAGACUUGGGGGCUCGGCGUUGGAGUUACGAGAAAAGCACGGCAGCCCACACUUGAUUCAGGAAUUACUUCCUAAGAUGGGUAGUUUCACCUAAAGAACGUGCUCAAGCACCAGUGAAAUGAAAUGGGUUUGGUCUACUAUGCAUCAUGUUGGUGCUAACCCCUAUUAUAUAUAUAUAUAUAUAUAUAUAUAUA